GGUCUGAAGGUCCCCAAGGUUGGUCUGAAGGUCCCCAAGGUUGGUCUGAAGGUCUUCAAGGUUGGUCUGAAGGUCCCCAAAGUUGGUUUGAAGGUCCCCAAGGUUGGUUUGAAGGUCCCCAAGGUUGAUUUGAAGGUUCCCCAAGGUUGGUUUAAAGAUCUCCAAGGUUGGUCUGAAGGUCCCCAAGGUUGGUUUGAAGGUCCCCAGAGAUGGUCUGAAGGUCCCUGAGAUUGGUCUGAAGGGCCCCAAGGUUGGUUUGAAGAUCCCCAAGGUUGGUUUUAAGAUCUCCAAGGUUGGUCUGAAGGUCCCCAAAGUUGGUUUGAAGGUUCCCCGGGGUUGGUUUAAAGAUCUCCAAGGUUGAUUUAAAGAUCUCCAAGGUUGGUCUGAAGGUCCCCAAAGUUGGUUUAAAGAUCUCCAAGGUUGGUCUGAAGGUCCCCAAAGUUGACCUGAAGCUCCUUAAGGUUGGUCUGAAGGUCCCCAAGGUUGGUCUGAAGGUCCCCAAGGUCGAUUUAAAGAUCUCCAAGGUUGGUCUGAAGGUCCUUGAGGUUGCUCUGAAGAUC